rnacentral:misc_RNA from 1 species
UUUCCGUAGGUGAACCUGCGGAAGGAUCAUUACCGAGCGAGGGCCCUCUGGGUCCUACCUCCCACCCGUGUCUCUUGUACCACGUUGCUUCGGCGGGCCCGCCUCACGGCCGCCGGGGGGCAUCUCGCCCCCGGGCCCGCGCCCGCCGAAGACACCCACGAACUCUGUCUGAAGAAUGCAGUCUGAGUGAAAUGAUAAAUUAUUUAAAACUUUCAACAACGGAUCUCUUGGUUCCG